GACGAAUGCUGGCGGCGUGCUUAACACAUGCAAGUCGAACGGACAGGCCCUGCUUGCAGUGUACUCGAGUGGCCAACGGGUGAGUAACACGCAGGUGAUCUGCCCUGCACUUCGGGAUAAGCCUGGGCAACUGGCUCUAAUACCUGCUAGGUGCCAUUUUUAGUCUGAUGGUUGGAAAGUUUUUUCGGUGUAGGAUGAGCUCGCGGCCUAUCAGCUUGUUGGUGGGGUAAUGGCCUACGAAGGCGGCGUCGGGUAGCCGGCCUGAGAGGGUGGACGGCCACAUUGGGACUGAGAUACGGACCAGAAUCCAACGGGAGGCAGCAGUCGAGAAUAUUGCACAAUGGGCGCAAGCCUGAGGCAGCGACGCCGCGUGGGGGAUGACGGCCUUCGGGUUGUAAACUACUUUCGCUAGAGACGAAGCUUUUGUGACGGUACCUAGAUAAGAAGCACCGGCUAACUACGUG
rnacentral:rRNA from 1 species